ACCGGAUCCGAAAAUCUCGCUUCGGGUUUCGUUUUUUUUUAAAAAAAAAAACUCCAUCCGAUACGACUUGACGACCGCCGACUCCGCUGUCGCCAUCACCGGCUCCACGAUGGCCGCCCUUCGCCAGUCGCCGCCGGCUCCGCGAUCGCCAUCCUCCUUCCUCUCCCCUCUCCGCCGCACGACCACACCGCCGUUCUAUCUCCAACGCAUCCUACCCCCUCACCGCCCCCUCCUCGUCGUCGUACCCACUCGCUCCACCGUCGAUGGCCGCGGCCAAGAAGAAGGAAUCUGGAGAAGACCCAAUGGAACAGGGAAGCCAGUGUUGCCUCUCCUCUGCGCCGCAAGUGACCCUCCCUCAGCCAGCGGAGAAACCGACGUUAGUCUCCGAGGGAUCAUGCUACGUGCUGGAGAAGUGUUAUCCAUGGCCUUCCCUCUGUGGGUGGGGACAGCCUGCUGUGUUUCCCUUUGGAGGCCGUCAUCAUUCCUCUGGGUGGACAAGAACUUGCAGAUAUUUGGCCUCACCCUCACUAUGCUUGGUAUGGGCAUGACUCUGACGCUCCAAGAUCUGAGAGCUGCACUACUGAUGCCCAAGGAGUUGGCUUCUGGCUUCAUCUUACAGUACACGGUGAUGCCUUUGUCCAGUUUUUUUGUCAGCAAGUUGUUAAAGUUACCUGCUCAUUAUGCGGCCGGCUUGAUAUUAGUCGGUUGCUGUCCAGGAGGCACCGCAAGUAAUAUUGUUACCUAUCUUGCAAGGGGAAAUGUUGCCCUCUCUGUGUUGAUGACAGCAGUAAGCACCUUCGCCGCUGUGGUAAUAAAACCUCUUCAUUUUUCAUCUUCUUUUUCAAACAUCAUUCCCCGUUUCUUAGCAGCAACCUUCUCAAGGUUUGAACUGCAGAUAAUGACACCUUUUCUCACAUCAAAACUUGCUGGAAGAUUCGUCGCAGUCGAUCCAGUUGGGCUUUUUAUGUCAACUGUUCAGGUUGUGCUUGCUCCCGUGCUUCUCGGUGCAGUUCUGAACCAAUAUUGCAAUAGUCUUAUUGAGUUUGUUUCGCCUUUGAUGCCACUAAUAGCAGUCGCAACUGUAGCAUUACUUUGUGGCAGUGCAAUUGCUCAAAAUGCCUCGGCUAUCCUCUCUUCUGGUUUGCAAGUGGUGAUCUCUGUUGCUUGUCUCCACGGGUCGGGCUUCUUCUUUGGCUAUGUUCUAGCAAGGGUGCUGGGAAUUGACGUGUCAUCUUCUCGCACUAUCAAGAUCGAGGUCGGAAUGCAGAAUUCUAUGCUCGGAGUAGUUCUUGCAGGCCAGCAUUUUGGCAAUCCGUUGACAGCAGUCCCUUGUGCCGUGUCUAGUGUUUGCCAAGCGGCCUAUGGCAGUAUCUUGGCUGGGAUCUGGCGAAGCAUGAUCCCCAAAACCGAAGAGAAGGAUUGAUUCUUCUCAAGGCUUGAAACUUGCAGUCAAUCGAAUAAUUAUGUUCCUAAACUGAAGUCUGCUGUGGGACAAGUAAACUACCGGAAGAACAUAGUGGCGAGCUUCUGCAGUGCUGCGAGAAUGUCGGCGAAGGAAAUGGUUCGAGUUGAGCAACAGGACGAAUUAAAGCUUCGCCCAGCUCCCCAGCCAACUGCUGCAAAAAGCGAAAUCGCUCGCAUUAGGCGCGCCAUCAAUGCAAUGCUGCUUCCUUCAAUCCUGCUUCCUUCUUACAUCUUCUGCCAUUAACGUACUGCGCACCUUCAAUGCUGCUUCCUUCUUACAUCUUCUGCCAUUAACGUACUGCGCAAGUGGAUAGAUAUCGAUCGAUCGGACUGCUCUGCCAUGGUUUCUUAUAAAAGGAUGGGCAUG